UCAUGUUUUCUGGCAAUAAUUCAGUUUUUUGGGGGUUGCUACUAAUAAUUACUUCAGUUAUUUACAGUUGUUAUUAUUGAGAAAGAGAGAUAAUCGCUGUAAAAAACUAUAAAUGAAAGGAUCUUAAAUCUUAAAAUUUAUAUCUACUCCUACCUUUUCACCAGUCUUCUAACCAGAAGACCAAGGAAUAACAACCAAGUGUCUGCUAAUUUUUCUUUGAUACAGUGUUUUUCAGAUUAUAAAUUAUUUUACUUUACCAAGUUGAGUUCAUCAGAUUGACAAUAUGUGAUAUCAGAUACACAAUUUUGGAGGGUGGAGUCUCUGCUUUCAAACAAGUCUACCGUACAGCACAUUUUAUCAAGGGGAGUUUGCUGACGUUGUUUUCUUUUAACCUGAUAACCAUUGAAAACUUUCUAGUAAUCCCCAAUCAGACGGGACUUCAGUUCCAUUACCUGUACAGUAAGAUAAGUCUAGUGGAUCUCUUCAGGUUUCUUUCAGAUCUGAAAUUCUGAUUCUAUGAAGAGUCCAAGGCAUUUCUCAGAAGUGAUCAGAUAAUAACCUUAAUAAUACCUUAUCAGGAAUGCAGUUAUUAGCCUCAUGACCUGACCUCUUUAUUUCUCCGAUUCAGUGUAAGGUGGGGAGCUAUUGUUUAUUUGCUUUGUGGCAAACCAGGGCUUGUUUCUUACCUUUAGUAUACUUGAUGCUUUAAACCUAUUGUCUUAGUAUCAGCUGGAAAUGUGCUAAGUGUACUUUUAAAUGGCAUGUAGGGUAUUGUCUUUUGGAGUGUGAAGGCACUUCUUACAAUCGUAGCACUGGUAGGCUUUCUUUUUGUUAAACUGAUUAAACAUAUAUAUGUAUUGAAUUGAAAGGUCUGUUAGGUGUGGAGAACUUCGUUUAAAGGUAAAGUUAGUUUUAGGGUCACCAGCAUAAUAUGUUUAUAAGCAUUAUCUUGGGAAAACCCCUAGUGCAAGUAUAAAGCUUACUUUGAUAGAGAAGGAACUAGUGAUAAAAGGCAUUUAAAAAAAAAAAAUAAAGGGAAAAGAAACUUACUGGUUUAAAUAGGAAUUUUCCUUCUGUAU